rnacentral:rRNA from 1 species
AUGAAGAUACCUCUUAAGAAUAAAAUCUUUGCGUGGUAUCUUCGUCGUGAAGUCAUUCUUACUAAAGAUAACCUUAUUAAGAGGAAUUGGCAUGAAAGUACGCAAUGUGUAUUUUGUCCGCAUGAUGAGACAAUAAAACAUUUGUUCUUCCAUUGUAAAUUGACUCGUUCUAUAUGGUCAGUCAUCCAGAUAGCUUCUAGCUUGUAUCCUCCGUGUAGUGUUGCUAAUAUAUUUGGCAACUGGUUACAUGGGAUUGAUCACAAGUUUAGAAUUCUUCUCAGGGUGGGAGCGCUUGCCGUGAUUUGA